rnacentral:rRNA from 1 species
CAGCCGCCACGGUAAUACAGAGGGUGCGAGCGUUAAUCGGAUUUACUGGGCGUAAAGCGUGCGUAGGCGGCUAAUUGAGUCGGAUGUGAAAUCCCUGAGCUUAACUUAGGAAUUGCAUUCGAUACUGGGAAGCUAGAGUAUGGGAGAGGAUGGUAGAAUUCCAGGUGUAGCGGUGAAAUGCGUAGAGAUCUGGAGGAAUACCGAUGGCGAAGGCAGCCAUCUGGCCUAAUACUGACGCUGAGGUACGAAAGCAUGGGGAGCAAACAGGAUUAGAUACCCGAGUAGUCCCUGUCUCUUAUAC